rnacentral:rRNA from 1 species
UACGAAGGGGGCUAGCGUUGCUCGGAAUCACUGGGCGUAAAGCGCACGUAGGCGGAUCUUUAAGUCAGGGGUGAAAUCCUGGAGCUCAACUCCAGAACUGCCUUUGAUACUGGGGAUCUCGAGUCCGGAAGAGGUGAGUGGAACUCCGAGUGUAGAGGUGAAAUUCGUAGAUAUUCGGAAGAACACCAGUGGCGAAGGCGGCUCACUGGCCCGGUACUGACGCUGAGGUGCGAAAGCGUGGGGAGCAAACAGG